CUUAAUUAAGUGCGGUGGAUGCUUUCUUAAAUUAUUUGAAUGAGUUAAACUAGAACAAAGAUGGAAGAUAUUGCAAGAAUAAACGUAAGCACAUGCACAACACAAACACAACAAUAUAUAGUGGUUCAGUGCUCUCCUUAGCACCUACGUCCACUCCCCAAGCGACCCCUUGGGAAUUCACUAUAAUCCCGCGGAUUACAGUUGGAUUGUUU
rnacentral:lncRNA from 1 species